AAGACGGAGAGGCAUCGCGGCAGUCUGGAGUCCUCCGGGCUUCUCUCCCUAUCGACGUCCCGCGCCGAUGCGUUUCUUGGUGCGCUGUGGGGGGCGUCGUAGAAGGUGAUGGCUGUGACGGAGCAUGAGGCGUCGCUGAAGAACAUCGUGGCCCGCGAUGGCAGCGAGCGCCAGGACCGGCACGAGUGCAAUGAGCGGUGGGCGACGCGGAUGGAGGGCGUCGGGUUCGGCCAGGCGCUAGGAGGGCAUAGCUUGGCCUCAGGCGCGACGGAUUGAAGGUUUGUGCUGCAGAUGGGGCUUCAAUUUGUGUUCUACGCGGCGGUGUGGUCGGCGGGUGCAAUCACCGGGCAGAGCGGCGCUGAACUGGCGCGGUGGAUGGAAUCGACAUCGUGGUGAGCUGUGGGCGGCCUUGGCACUGCUCCGGACAGAGCUCGCCGCUGUCGGGCACCAAAGAGACUGAUCUCGGCGGGAGGUGUGGCAACGCUUCUCUGUAUUGGCGUCGGUGUUCUCGCGGGAGGUCCCUGUGGUCGUCACGGCAGAGGCUCUAUAACGGCGGAUUCAAGGACCUCCCGGUCAUUGGCCACCCUCCUCAUCCGUCAAUGGCCAUUAUCAGUGUUUACCGUGCUCAUUCGAAUUGUAUAUCUUCUAUUGGAGCUGGUCACACAGUGUCUGAAAUUGGUAUUCAGCCUUCGACUCUUCCUCUCUUUCACAUAUGGGUGCACAAUAUUGAUCUCCUUUUAUGUUUUACUCAGCCGAGUGGCAAGUCCAAGCUGCAGUUGCUGAAAAUAGCGGCGCUAGCAUGAGAAUCACAUGUUCGUCUGUCUCUUAUUAGUUAUUUCUAUCUCUUUUGGUAGAUCUUUCUCAGUACUGAUACCUUUUGAUAAUUAGUGUUUCCUUGGUUUGUGCUUACAGCUUGCUAUGGUGAAUAAUUACUAGAGUUUCUUUUUAUUCACUUGACCUGAUGUAAAUGUACAUAGCAGUGAAGGGCACUGCUACAGAGAGAUCAUUUGCUUUUUAUUUUUACGGGGACAGAGAGAUCAUUUGUUGCAGUUAGACAAGAUAAAUAUGAAUAUCAAAAGGGUUGCUGGAUAUCGGCAAUGGUGCAAUAACUUGUGGAAUUCCAUUCGAUUUGCAAUGGGCAGGCUUGGUGAUCAUUACAGUCCACUAGCAAUUAUCGUUGUGUCUCCGGUGCCUCCAAUAUGCAAAUAGAUACUCUUAGUAUUUAAUAAAGCUAUUGGUAAGACUCUGACCUCAUUAGAAGCAUGCAAGUUCUUUGAUGGAACAUCUGCUAUAUACUCACGGUAGAGCUCUCUCUUUUUUUUUUGUCAUGAAUAAAAUGACAACACACUGAUUUAUUUACUGCAGGGGUCAGGUGCACGGUUGAAAUGUUGUUCAAUGUUUGCUUAUUAUGAAAAUAUAUACAAACGCCUUUUUAAUGCACCUAAUGCAUGGUGAUCUGGAAAGGUCAUUUUGGUUGUUCUCGACCAGACUACCAUUUUUUUUAUCACAACUCAGUGCUUGGAUGGGUCGGUAAUAUGUUUAGAUCUGUAGAUUACCACUGAAUUAGUAAAUUCGGCUUAUGCUUGUGAUGAUUUCAGCAUAAUAAGAUGCCAGAUUCUUGUUUGUUCAUUGUUUCAGUUUUUUAACUUAAAUUUUAAUAUUCCUAGAUAUAUUAGCUUGAUUUGGCCAAGCCUUGAAAUUUUCUUCCUUGCAGCAAAUAUUUGAACUGGUUUAAGGCGUGAUCAGAAGUUCUCUAGCUUCUGGAUUCCCGAAACUCCAGCUUGGAGCAGUGCCAAAAAGUCUAGCUUCACGGAGCCAGAUUCGAGAAGCUAGCCCAAUCUAAUGUACAAAUAUACAUUUAUAAGUGGAUCUGAUUAAAGGGGCAUUGGCACCAUUCACAUCUUGACAGCAGAGCAAUGAUGUGCAUCCACUGGUUAUAGAGAGAUCUGAGGCUGUGACUUCCUUGCUCUAGCAUUACAUUUUUUUAGUUGCCUUACGAUGUAGCACUUGAUUCUGGAAAUCAAAUCUUAAUAUGGUUAUUACUUUAUAUCACCGUUGUGAACUUUGAUAUAUGUUUGCCUUAUAAUGUAAACUUGUAUACACAUGUUUCUUAUGGUUAUGAUUAUCAAUGGGAAUGUGUGUGUGUGUGUGUAUCAGGCCAAUUUCAUCUUAGACAAGGGAAUAAAAUUGUACUAACGAGGAAUGGCAAAAAUAUUUGAUUAUACAUUUGGGUUGGGUUCCAUGUUCUUUUGUUUCGAGCUAUUUCAUUGUCUUCCAUUGCUCUGGACAGUUGACAUGGCAUUGACUUCAUCAAUUAUCUCACUUGAGCACACCACAUUUUCAUGUUGUUUCCCUCAAGAUCUAGAUUUUACCAGUUUUUCAUUAUAUGUAAUUUCUCUUUUGUGCUCUGUAUUCCAAAAUUAAUCAAUAAAAAAUAUGCAAAUCUCCAUCUCCUUAUUUAUUUUGCAGUCCCUCUUUUCUUGCAGAUGUUAGACUUUUGUGUUUUGCUGCCAACAAAAAAGAAGGUUUUGUGUGGAAUUAGAUAAGCAUGAUUCGAAGGCAGGAUAUUCAAAUUGUAGUUCUUACAACAUGAUUGUUUUCCUUACUUCAUAGGUUCUCAUGGUGCUCCUCUCAGAUUUUUUUUGUAGCCAAUUACUUUUUUGUUGCCAUCCAGUUUUCAGUGAUGCUGAACUUUCGAGUUUUGUAAGCAGACUGGCAGGCAUGCAUUUCUAAAGUAGAUGAAUAUGAAAUGAAUCAAUCUUGAUUUGUGUUUAAUUUGCCUUUGGUGACAGUUUGAUGGUUCAGACUCAGUUGACUAGCAGAUCUCUUUUUACGCACAAUUUUGAGUCCUCAAUCCAUGCUGAAUUCUUUCGUUCAGAAUUCAGAUAUUAUUUCCGCAAAGAGGGCUUAGUUAACAACUUUUCGAACAAAAACCUUAGGAGUAAGGAGGCAUUGUUCUGAAAUAAUUUUCUUAACUAUACACAUGAAUCAAUCUUGAUUUGUGUUUCAUUUGCCUCUGGUGACAGUUUGAUGGUUCAGUCUCAGUUGAGUAGCAGAUCUCUUUUUACGCACACUUUUGAGUCCUCAAUCCAUGCUGAAUUCUUCCGUUUAGAGUUCAGAUAUUAUUUCCACAAAGAGGGCUUAGUUAAAACUUUUUGCACAAAAACCUUAGGAAUAAGGAGGCAUUGUUCUGAAAUAAUUUUCUUAACUAUACACGACACCAGUAUUUUAAUAUUUAUGGUAGCAUUUGAAAGGAUGAUAACAUUACAAUACGUUAUAUGCUAUAUGAUUAUGUAAGAAUGGUGUUGUAGGCUCUACCUUAACUGACUAUGAUAUCAUUUGAGAGAGAUGUUCUAUGUUACUUAUUAAAUAGAACUCUGGCAAUAUGGUAAGCGAUUUCUUCAAGUAGACGUUCUGAACAUCUGCCAAGAAAGCCAGGUGCCACAGGCACCUGAUAGUAGAGGCACCGAUUGCUGGAGGAGCGAGGGUGAGGAGGGUCGUGGCAGCGCAUAUGAGGUACGCAAUCUAUAUCCUUUACCUCUCUUAGUUCUUUGGCUCUGCUUGCUGUUUUGACAUGGUCAACUGGGAUAAUAUCGAGCCGAUGAAGCCCGUCAAUGAGGACUAAAACUGACCUUGCUUGAAUGGAUAUACAUCUGAAGGAGGCAAGGAGCAAGUUGUGUAUAUGUUAUUAAAGGUAUAAAUCCUCUCGGUCUACAAGAUUUUCGGAUGCAACUCAUGUAAUUCAUUGUAUUGGCUUAUCCAAUCCUACACAUUAGUUUGUGAUCUGCAGGUAUUCAAGAUUUUUUUUGCUUGAAUUAUAUUGAUGGCCACAAUGGUAUACUUAGCUCAAAACAAUAGUGCUACAGUGAAAAAUUGUGUCUAGGUCACAACAGCAAUGAGGGCAACACUGGUCACGGAUGCUUGGCAGCGAGGCCAUCAAUGGAAGAUACUUGUGCGUGUCACGGGCUUCUAAGAAGAGAAAGAUUCAGAAAUCUAUAUGAAUUGGAUUUCAUCUUGGUCUGACUGUGAGGUCGACUACAUCAGUGCAAAUAUCAAGAAGGUGCAUCAAAAGUAUGGAACUGUGUGCGCUGCCGACUUCACUCACCACUAUAAAGCUUUGGCCCUAAUAAGACCAGUUCAUAUUGACACUAUGUGUAUUUGUCUCACCUAUCUAUCCUGUUUUGUAAGAUCGGGUUUUUGAACACAUGUAUCUAUCUGGUAGAUCACCAAUCAUCUUCUUUUCGUGUUUACGAAUUCCAAUAUAAGCAAGU